AGAAUCAACGCUGGCGGCGUGCCUAACACAUGCAAGUCGAACGCGAAAGCCCCGAAAGGGGCAAGUAGAGUGGCAAACGGGUGAGUAACACGUGGGUGACCUGCCUUCGAGCGGGGAUAACGUCCCGAAAGGGACGCUAAUACCGCAUAACAUCCUGCCUUUGAAGAGGUGAGAUCAAAGCUGGGGAUCGCAAGACCCGGCACUUGAAGAGGGGCCCGCGCCUGAUUAGCUAGUUGGUGGGGUAACGCCUACGAAGGCAACGAUC
rnacentral:rRNA from 1 species